rnacentral:rRNA from 1 species
AGCCUUAGGGAAUUUUAUCUAAGGUUAAACCUGCCCAAUGUUAUUUUAUUAAUGGCCGCGGUACUUUGACCGUGCUAAGGUAGCGCAAUCAAUUGGCUUUUAAUUGAAGCCAUGUAUGAAUGGAAUCACGGGGUUUAGCUGUCUCUUAACUAAUUUAUUGAAAUUACUAUUCAGGUGAAAAAGCCUGAAAAAUGAAAAAAGACGAGAAGACCCUUAGAGUUUUACCUAACUUGAAAUUAUUUUUGGAACAGUUUUGUUGGGGCAACAUAGGAACAAUUCUAACCUCCUGUAACCUAUACACCGAUAAUUUUAAAUGUGAAUAAACUACCUUAGGGAUAACAGCAUAAUUUUAUAAAUAAGUUUGUGACCUCGAUGUUGGACUAGGAAACUAAGAGGCUAACCGCCUUUUAGGAAAGUUCUGUUCGAACUAUUAUUCCU